rnacentral:rRNA from 1 species
UGAAUACGAGACGCUAAGGCGUCGAAGUAGUGUAUGUCAUACUUCCAAGAAAAGCUUGCACUGUCAUAGAUAAAAAACGCCUGUACCAUAACCGACACAGGUGGGUAGGUAGAGUAUACUAAGGGGCGCGAGAUAACUCUCUCUAAGGAACUCGGCAAAAUAACUCCGUAACUUCGGGAGAAGGAGUGCCUUAUUCUUAAGGUUGCAAUAACAAGAUCCAAGCAACUGUUUAUCAAAAACACAGGUCUCCGCUAAGUCGUAAGACGAUGUAUGGGGGCUGACGCCUGCCCAGUGCCAGAAGGUUAAAGAAGCUGGUUAGCAUUUGCGAAGCUAGUAACUGAAGCCCUGGUGAACGGCGGCCGUAACGAUAACGGUCCUAAGGUAGCGAAAUUCCUUGUCGGGUAAGUUCCGACCCGCACGAAAGGCGUAAUGAUUUGGAUACUGUCUCGGAGAGGGGCUCGGUGAAAUAGACUUGUCUGUGAAGAUGCGGACUACCUGCACCAGGACAGAAAGACCCUAUGAAGCUUUACUGUAACUUGAAAUUGAAAUUGGACUUUAUUCGCGCAGUAUAGGUGGGAGGCGUUGAUUAUAAUCUUGCGGGAUUAUUGGAGCCAUUAGUGAGAUACCACUCUUGUAAUGUUAGAUUUCUAACUUUGAAUCUUUAUCUGGUCAAAGAACAGUUUCAGGCGGGCAGUUUGACUGGGGCGGUCGCCUCCCAAACGGUAACGGAGGCGUACAAAGGUUUCCUCUGAACGGUUAGAAAUCGUAUCUAGAGUGUAAAGGCAUAAGGAAGCUUGACUGUGAGACCUACAAGUCGGGCAGGGACGAAAGUCGGUCUUAGUGAUCUGACGGUACUGAGUGGAAAGGCCGUCACUCAACGGAUAAAAGUUACUCUAGGAUAACAGGCUGAUCUCCCCCAAGAGUUCACAUCGACGGGGAGGUUUGGCACCUCGAUGUCGGCUCAUCGCAUCCUGGGGCGGUAGUACGUCCCAAGGGUUGGGCUGUUCGCCCAUGAAAGCGGUACGCGAGCUGGGUUCAGAACGUCGUGAGACAGUUCGGUCCAUAUCCGGUGUAGGCGUUAGAAUAUUGAGAGGAGCCUUCUUUAGUACGAGAGGACCGAGAAGGACAUACCUCUGGUGUACCAGUUAUCGUGCCAACGGUAGACGCCGGGUAGCUAUGUAUGGAGUGGAUAACCGCUGAAAGCAUCUAAGUGGGAAGCCCACCUCAAGAUAAGUAUUCUCAUC